GUUCAUCAAUGUUCCGUGAGGCGGGCGUUAACGGAUGACUUCCCAGUUGCACAAUGCUUGCGCAGUAACUGGAGCGCAGAUGGUUUGUUUGCCAGGCCACGGCAGAAGGGGUAAAAUGGCGGCGAGAGUGGUGUAACUGUUAGCGAUUUCCCUACCGACGAGGAAGGAUAGGACGAAAAAGAAGUGCAGUUUCGGUAACACCUCCGGGCAGCUUUAGCAAAGAUGCUGCAGCAUUCCUUUCUCUGCUCACAACCCAAAGCCCCCCUGCUGGACUUGCAGAAGCUGUGUGUGUCGGUACUCGGGUGUCAGUGUCAGGCAGACGAGGUCCUGAUGCCUUAGCAGUAUCUGCCAAUGAAAGCUUGGUUCUGUUGAAGCUGUAAACAAGACUCCUUUCCAGCGAUGAGCCAACAUCACCCGCCACCUAGUCCACAAUUUCCAGUCUUUUGCUUUACUUUACCGCUUAAGUGUUUUUUUUUUUUUUUUUUUUUUUUUGACCCAGAAUUACAUGUAGAACAUAUAAAUGAAGGGCUUCAAUGGAUUGCAGGUAUUUUCAUACAGGGACCCAUACAAAGAAUAUAUUUUCCUUGGAUGCUGUAUAAUUACUUUGUUUGGUCUUGCACCCUGCUAGUUACGUUGUGUGUCCUAAACAUAAAGGUUCACUAAAAGCAGAGAAAAAAAAAACUUCCCAGGUUCUAUGCUAGUUUAUUAUUUUUUCUAUGUCCACUCAGACCAGUGAGUGUCCAUAUAGUCAUCUUUUCCAUCACCUGUCCAUUUUCCCUUACCAUGAGCGACGUUACUGCAAUAACUUGAGCAUAUUUUAGUAAAACCACCAACCCUAAACGUUCUAGUCAGAUAGAACCAAGCUCUAGUAAUUGUCCCUCAGUUUAAGAAAUGCCACAACAUAGAAGGGACACCUGAGAAAGUGAGCCCAAACCAGUAAUACUAUAGCCAGCCAAAACACAGUGUGUUUCUGAAACAAACAUCCAAUGAAACAUUUGUAUUUGUUAGACAGCAGCUUCCAAAUUCUAUUUUUGUGUGGCAUGUAUUUCAUUCACAAACCACAAUUGCCGUGGGUAAUCUUUUUUUCAUUGUGACUCGCAGAGGGUUUAAUGAGCAGAACUGUCUUUGCUACAAAACCCCGGAUAUUCAGUAAUACCACCUGGAAAUCAGAAUCCACACAGGCAAAAUGUGAGAUCAGUUCUGAUAUCCAGUGUCUGCUGCAGUAAUAUCCAGAAAAGUGUUAAAAGCGGGCACUAUGUGGUCUUCACUGGAGAUUCUGGAGGGAGCGUCGCAUUGGCUCUGGCGCUUCCACGGUUUAGGGAGGCAAAAUCCUUAGGGACUGUUUUACCUCAUCGCACCACAGCGGACCCUACUGACCAGAUGCCUAGUGAGCUCAAGAGGACACCUGUGGGGCUGGUUUUUGUCUUUCAGAGGCUGAUAGCUCACCCAGUGAACCUUCCCUUCUCCUGAGGUGUGUGGGGAAUUGCUGUGGUGAGGGAGCACAAUUGGACAGUCUAAAUUGAUAAGAAAAUUGAGGGCACUCUCAAAGUAAUUAAAUAAAUAAAGUGAUCACUACACCCAAACAUUUGCAUUUAAGGUAGUUCACCAUGCACCAUUUAGCAGAACUAUUUUUUCCAAAGUUUACUAGUUUUAAUGAUUGAGCAGUACAGUGAUCUCUCAGGGUGGUACAAGAGCAGGGUGCUGAAUUGCAUAGAUUGAUGUUAAAGUUAAAGCUGCAAGAUGUUAAAGCUUUGCAUGGCUAAACCCUGUAACUUUCUCCAUGAGUUUCUUGUACAGGUCUAAAACUUGUGAGGGCUGCUUCCAAAUGCUGUGAAUAUUGCUACUUCUGUUGAGACAGAGGGGUCAUCCACGAAGGUCCUACCUGCCCUUCUAUCCAAUUGGACCAGAACCCAUUUCUUUAUGAAAAAGUACAGUUAAACCUGCUUACUGUAUAAUUACCACUGCAUACCCCUAAAGCUGUAGUUGAUUUGAUGUCUUUAGUGUAAGUCUGGUGUACACUGGAUAUUCAGCAAUAUUGUUUGGGAAUCAAAUCUAAACAUGCAAAAUACAAAAUCAGACACAAACAAUCACUGCUGUGCAUAUUCCCAUACAGCAGUUGCAGAUACUGCCCUACAAAAAGAGAUUGCAAUACAUAACCUUUCAUUGACUUGCAAUGGUCAAUGCAAUGCAUACUUUUCAGUAUGAAUCUCCUGCCAUAGUUACAUGCAUGAAUCAAUCUAAUUUACAAUACAUGCUGGGAAUGUACCUUAUUUUCUGAAGACCAUGCCCAAAUAAAACUGCAGGAUCAGAUUUUGUUGCCUCUUCAUACUAAUCAAAAUGAAAUCAAUUUUUGCUGAUUUUUAAACACUGCUAUAACCUUUAUUUUAAAAUGUGUCCUCAUUUUGAUUUUGGAGACACUAUAUGAUUUAGCCUGCCCAUUGCAAAGGUUAAAGUAUAUUGCAAUUGUGAAUCAAUGCAAAAUGAUUUACUUUAAAUUGGUGUGUGGUUUCUUUAUACUUUGUUCUUGACUUGGUCAUUAGGUGCAGAAAUCAAUAUUAAAAAAACAAAAAAAAACUAAACACAAACUGCAGGUAGGCUGAUAAACUGAGCUAUGUAAGAAAAAGUUUAUGAAAAAACAUGUUUUAUUAUUAUUAUUAUUAUUAUUAUUAUUAUUAUUAUUAUUAUUAUUAUUUUUAAGAAGACAGUGUAGCAUAUACAUUUGACUUAAAAAUAUGUUAGAAAGUAUGGCUUGACAGUUUUGAGAGAAAAGAAAAAUCCUCAAGGCAAUAAAUGAUGUGUAUAAAUGAUCAAUAGUGUCCCAGUACUCAGUUGUCCCAACCCUACAGAACGAGCAAUCUUCUUAUUUUCUCCCACUCCCCAGCUAAUGGAAGCAGCCACGAUACUGUUGUACUGCAUUUAUUUCCCCUUUCCUCACCCUAAAAUUUCACCUGAAUUUAUGGGCAUGUGCAAUAUGUUUUUAUAUAUAAUUGUGAAACAAGUGACAAGUUGUUUUGAGAACAACAAAAUCACCACGUCUUCCAUUUUAAGAUGUAUAGUUCCAUGUGCAUUAGCUUAAUAGCAGGCUGUAGUGCCAUAUUAGUGGCCAUGCAUGAGGUUAGCGUUGCUUGCAUGUGAAUAACUUUAAACAAGAAAUCGAAACUUGAUUGAGCUACUAACAUACAAUGCAGCAUCUCUUUUUAAACAAAGCUGAGAUGCUACUUUCCGUUGGACUACUAAAAACAUACAUUUUGAAAGUAGAAAAGUGUUUCAACCUUGAUAAUUAGGGAUGCAACAUUUAAUUAAUAUGCAGUGAGCGUUGGAUUUAGUGUUACCUGUAAUAAAUACUAACACAAUAGUUUUAGUAUUGCAUAGUAGAUUACUGCUUAGCUAAACUAAUUUUAAUGCAAAAUACCUCAAGUUUUGGAAUGUCGAUAGCACAAAUCAAGCCAUACUAUUAAUAGAAUUUUAGAAGCAAUAAUGUUAUGCAUGAACUAGUAUCGGAAUGGAAAUAUAUAUGAUUUAGGCAGAAUGAAUAAAUGUAUUAAACUGUUGUAAAAAUGUUUUUAGUGAGAAAGAUUACAGGCGGGUGGCAUUUUCUGUUGCCUGUUGUAGGCUGUAAUUACAAAAAUACUGUUCCCUUUGUUAAAAAAAAAAACAAACACCAAAUUGUUCUUGUGAUUCUUUUGCCAUUGUGUUAAUGAUGCUUACACCCAUCAUACUCCCCCAACUACUGAUGGGGUAUAAUGCAUUUUGGCAUAACUGAUAUCCUGUGCUAGUAGCAUUUACAGCAGUUUGAGGCCACAUGUCAAAUAUAACAUGCAAUUUUCCUUGAAAUACGAGCAGAAAAAAAAGAAAACAAAUUCCUGUUUUCUUCAAAUUAGUACAGUAAAAUCUGUAUAUUUUCAUUAAAAGAUUGUCAUGUUUAAAAUUUGUUUGCACGUGUUUGAUAAAUAAUCAUAUUCUUAACGCAUUUAAAGGUAAAAUGCUUAAAUGUGUUGGCUGGCUUUAUUGCUGUUAACAAAAAGUAGCCAAAAUGCUUACUUUAGUCUGCCUACAGAAAAUGCCUCUGGUUAUGUAAUCAGUUUGAAUUUUGAAAGAGCAGUUUAUGGUAUUUGUAUAGAUAUUAUAUACUACCUGUAAACAAAAUGGUCUUUUUGAUUGUCCGACUUGUCAUCUUACCACUGAAAUGUGAGGGUUGUGUGGUUUAGUGCUGUAGGCUUUUAAUUUACUAGGGCAAGCGUACUGGGCUUUGUAUUAGUCAUGUUGUUUUCCUUAUGUCCUUUCUCUGAGAGGAAAAUAUAGGCAGAUAUUUAAAAGUGAUUUAGGAAAUAAGAAAGAGUGAAAUAGUCCUCUUAUAUUAUGCAUGUUACAAUAGUGUUAUAUUAGGUUAUUACUAAAGUAAAAUAUGCAAAGGCAAAUCCUCAUAUAGUAGAGCUGGGAACAACAUGGGUUUUUUCAUGUGUAAAUAUCAAAAUUCAAACGAGUAUUCCCUUCAUUUUGAAUUAGCUGAAAAAAAAAAAAAUCUCUUGGGACUAAUACCCCCUUCAAAAUACCAGGAGAGUCUUUCUUCUGUGCAGUAGAAUGUGUAUUAUUAAGACAUCCAUUAUGCAUUGGUUUUCUUUAAUUAAAAAAAAAAUAUAUAUAUAUAUAUAUAUAUAUAUAUAUAUAUAUGAAUAUAUGUUAUAGGAAUGAAUACAAACUUGGUCACUGUUGUCUGGAAAUACUUUUAAGUUGUAAGGUUUGAAAAUAAGUGACACAAAACUGUAUGUGUAUGCAUUUGCAGAAGGUAUGUUGACAAGACACAAAGCAGCUAGACCACAUUUAUUGAGUAAUUUGUCCCAUCACUACUAGACAGAUCUACUGUGUUCUAAAAGCUAUUGUUGUAUUGUUUUAUAAACAUACAGAACAAGGUGUGACAAACUAUGUGUGUCAUUUUAGUGACAAGUCGGUUUUAAUUCUAAGCAGAAUUAAUUAAAAGCAUUGCUUAAAGGUAUGUGGAAGAGACAAAGACACAAAGCUGGCUGGUUACAUUUCCAAGUAAUUCUGUUUUGUUUUUCUGCAGCAUAACUGUCACUUUUAUGUGCUGUAGGAAAAGUGCUUUAUUGUGUUUACAAAUAUGUUCUGUACUGGUUGUCGAGAUUAGCCAGACUGGAUUUAGUUCGUAUUGCUGCAACUUUAUGAAGAAUUCUGUAAUGUGUUUAAGGUGGUGGGUAAACUAACCCGGCCAUUCAUUCUUUCAGACAUGCCUACAUGUUAAGCUAUUCGAACGCUUUCUGGCUAUUACUGUCAUGAGAGCUAAUUGGUAGAAAUAUCUUAUAAAUACAUGCUCUAGUACUUUUAUUUUUGGUUCUAGUUGUAUGUUCAACAGUUUAAUGCCAAAAGAAAUGCAGCAUGAUUUUACCAACUUGUGUUCCUUGACUUUAACUGCAACAACAAAGCAUUUCUGAAAACAGUUGCCAUAGCUAGUGACAUUUGAAUAAUUUAAGGCAUCAGAAUUGCAGAAUUUAACGUGUUUUCAUUCUGUAUCACUGUUUGUACGACAUAUAUCGAUACAAAUAGUUUUUUUGUAUGUCAACAGAAUGAUGUGUAUGUGAUUUUACAUCAGUUUUAAACACCACCCUGCACUGUGUAGAGUAAGAAAUUAUUCUUUCAAGUAAGCACAGUAUACAUCAGAAUUCCAGUUUUGUAUAUUUCUGUAAGGAGCAUCACCAAUUAAGCAUUUUAUUCCUUUAGCUUGUUUUAUGUAUUUUAAUUGUAUUGCGUUAAACUAUGCACUUCAGAAAAAAAAAAAAAGAAAGCUCAUGGAUUUAAAUAUUGAGAUGGAUUUGUAAAACUGUAACCUGUGUAUCAAAAACUUCUACAGCAAUAAAAGCAGCAUGGUGCCAGUUGUGCACUA